UACGUAGGUGGCAAGCGUUGUCCGGAUUUACUGGGCGUCAAGUGCGUGCAGGCGGUCUGUUAAGUCUAGGGUGAAAGCUCCCGGCUCAACUGGGAGAGGUCCUUGGAUACUGGCGGACUUGAGGGAGGUAGAGGAAAGUGGAAUUCCCGGUGUAGUGGUGAAAUGCGUAGAUAUCGGGAGGAACACCAGUGGCGAAGGCGACUACCUGGCCUGUUCUUGACGCUGAGGCGCGAAAGCUAGGGGAGCAAACGGG
rnacentral:rRNA from 1 species